AGGGGAAAAAUGUGCAGAUUUAAAAUCUCUGGGAUCAAGACAGAAGAUUUACAGCGCAAGAUCAAGCAAAACACAACAGAAUAAGAUGUGUUUGUUAUGAUAUUGCUCCCUCCCUCGACUGCACCUCUUCCCAGCAGUCACUGCAGGAUGGACAGUUUCACAUGAGCUCAGUGUGGAGGGGUGAACAGAUGGACUGUACCAUUAUCCCAAAGUACCCUGCUGUGCUGAAUGAAAUAUUAUCUAUCUAUCUAUCUAUCUAUCUAUCUAUCUAUCUAUCUAUCUAUCUAUCUA